UCCGAUAUCGUCUAGAGGUUAGGAUAUGGCGUUUUCAUCUUAAAAUUUAAGGGACCGCUAGGGCCCGGGUUCGAUUCCCGGUAUCGGAA